rnacentral:lncRNA from 1 species
CCUAAUCUGUAGCAAGAGCUCAAGAAACACGAGCUGAGUGGACAAUGUUUAUUUAAACCCUCUCUUUUAAGCACUUGCCAUGUACGAGGAAGGACACUUCCCUCUGCUCUAGCCAGCCUUUGCCCCAUGGCUCAACAUCCAAGGCUUGACAACUCCCAUGAAUGCCACAAAAAGCACCUUGAACACGGGGUGUUGCUGGCCUCCCCUUUCACCCAUGCCCACACCCUUCAGGAUUACCAAGGUGAUCCUAGAACUCCUCUGAAAUCACAAUUUCUAACCCAGGACCUGACCACAGCCCUCCAGAUGGAGAUGCUUGAUGGAGACCAGCAGUGUCUGUCCGAGCCCCCUUCCCCUCCCCCCUCCCCCUUCCCCCUCUUCCUUCACCCUAGCCCACAGAGGGACAGGCUGCCCUUGGCACCCCUCUUGCAUUUAUGGCAGUCCUUCUCCGUCCUGCAAGGGCGGUGA